rnacentral:ncRNA from 1 species
AAUGUACAAAGGUGCCUGCAUAAAAUGCAGGAGAAUAGGAAAGCUGAGUGGAAAGCUCACACGGUCACGCCGCUGUAAGGGAGGAAUUGUAUUUCUUGCAAGGUUUCUGCAAACCUGCGUCACUGGGAAAUCACCUGGGAAGGCUGAAAUACGAUGAAGAUACCCGAGUCAGAAGACCUGCCUUGUACAC